rnacentral:pre_miRNA from 1 species
CGCCAGUUCCGUUUGAGGUAGUGGGUUGUAUCGCUGAGGGAACUAAAGUUUCACCCUGGCGCUGCAACAAACUACCCCCUACGGCGCGUGGUGCUACUCG